CCGACCAUCCCUGGAGACUGAAGUCUUCCGUUUAUGCCCAGAACGGAUACAGUCUAGGCAGAAGCAGUGCAGGCUUCCCCACACUGUUGAUGGGGAGACCACUACUUGAGGGGAAAGGGUAGCUAGUUCUCUAGAUUGACUCAGAACGUAAGAACG
rnacentral:sRNA from 1 species